rnacentral:rRNA from 1 species
UACGUAGGGGGCAAGCGUUGUCCGGAUUUAUUGGGCGUAAAGAGCGUGUAGGCGGCCACACAGGUCUGCUGUGAAAACUCGAGGCUCAACCUCGAGCUGUCGGUGGAAACCGUGUGGCUAGAGUCCGGAAGAGGAGAGUGGAAUUCCCGGUGUAGCGGUGAAAUGCGCAGAUAUCGGGAAGAACACCCGUGGCGAAGGCGGCUCUCUGGGACGGUACUGACGCUGAGACGCGAAAGCGUGGGGAGCGAACGAGG